GUCCGGGUGGCGGAAUAGGCAGACGCGCUAGCUUGAGGUGCUAGUGCCCUUUAUCGGGCGUGGGGGUUCAAGUCCCCCCUCGGACAC
rnacentral:tRNA from 1 species